rnacentral:rRNA from 1 species
AGAGUUUGAUCAUGGCUCAGAUUGAACGCUGGCGGCAGGCCUAACACAUGCAAGUCGAGCGGAGUAUAUAGCUUGCUAUAUGCUUAGCGGCGGACGGGUGAGUAACGCGUGGGAAUUUGCCUAUGAGAGGGGGAUAGCCCGGGGAAACUCGGAUUAAUACCGCAUGAUACUGAAAAGUCAAAGAUGGCCUCUGCUUGCAAGCUAUCGCUCAUAGAGAAGCCCGCGUAGGAUUAGCUAGUUGGUAGGGUAAAGGCCUACCAAGGCGACGAUCCUUAGCUGGUCUUAGAGGAUGAUCAGCCACACUGGGACUGAGACACGGCCCAGACUCCUGCGGGAGGCAGCAGUGGGGAAUAUUGGGCAAUGGGGGCAACCCUGACCCAGCCAUGCCGCGUGUGUGAAGAAGGCCUUCGGGUUGUAAAGCACUUUAGUCCAUGAAGAAGGGUGUUGUGUGAAUAAUGCAGCAUUUUGACAUUAGUGGAAGAAUAAGCACCGGCUAACUCCGUGCCAGCAGCCGCGGUAAUACGGAGGGUGCGAGCGUUAAUCGGAAUUACUGGGCGUAAAGCGCACGUAGGUGGUGAUUUAAGCGAGAUGUGAAAGACCUGGGCUUAACCUAGGAAUGGCAUUUCGAACUGGGUCACUAGAGUAUGAUAGAGGGUAGCAGAAUUUCUGGUGUAGCGGUGAAAUGCGUAGAGAUCAGAAGGAAUAUCAGUGGCGAAGGCGGCUACCUGGAUUAAUACUGACACUGAGGAGCGAAAGCGUGGGGAGCAAACAGGAUUAGAUACCCUGGUAGUCCACGCUGUAAACGAUGAAUACUAGCCGUUGGUCGAUUAAGAUUAGUGGCGCAGCUAACGCGAUAAGUAUUCCGCCUGGGGAGUACGGCCGCAAGGUUAAAACUCAAAUGAAUUGACGGGGCCCGCACAAGCGGUGGAGCAUGUGGUUUAAUUCGACGCAACGCGAAGAACCUUACCUACCCUUGACAUCCCACGAAUCUUUUAGAGAUAAGAGAGUGCCUUCGGGAACGUGGAGACAGGUGCUGCAUGGCUGUCGUCAGCUCGUGUUGUGAAAUGUUGGGUUAAGUCCCGUAACGAGCGCAACCCUUGUCCUUAGUUGCUAACAUUUAGUUGAGAACUCUAAGGAGACCGCCGGUGACAAGCCGGAGGAAGGUGGGGACGACGUCAAGUCAUCAUGGCCCUUAUGGGUAGGGCUACACACGUGCUACAAUGGUUGGUACAGAGGGAAGCGAAGCCGCGAGGUGAAGCAAAUCUCACAAAGCCAAUCGUAGUCCGGAUUGCAGUCUGCAACUCGACUGCAUGAAGUCGGAAUCGCUAGUAAUCGCAAAUCAGAAUGUUGCGGUGAAUACGUUCCCGGGCCUUGUACACACCGCCCGUCACACCAUGGGAGUGGGUUGCACCAGAAGUAGCUAGAUUAACCUUAGGGGGGUCGGUUACCACGGUGUGAUUCAUGACUGGGGUGAAGUCGUAACAAGGUAACCGUA